GACGAACGCUGGCGGCGUGCCUAAUACAUGCAAGUAGGACGCAGUUGCGAACGGGUGAGUAACGCGUAGGUAACUGCCUAUUAGAGGGGGAUAACUAUUGGAAACGAUAGCUAAUACCGCAUACUAGUAGAUGGACCUGCGUUGUAUUAGCUAGUAGGUAGGGUAAUGGCAUACCUAGGCAACGAUACAUAGCCGACUCGGGGUGGUGAUCGGCCCCACUUGGACUGAGACACGGCCCCGACUCCUACGGGGGGCAGCAGUAGGGAAUCUUCGGAAAUGGGGGGAACCCUGACCGCGCAACGCCGCGUUAGUGAAGAAGGGUUUCGGAUCGUAAAGCUCUGUUGUUAAGGAAGCGGUACUUAACCAGAAAGGGACGGCUAACUACGUGCCAGCCGCCGCGGUAAUAC
rnacentral:rRNA from 1 species